rnacentral:rRNA from 1 species
UACAUGGGGUGCAAACGUUGCUCGGAAUUAUUGGGCGUAAAGCGCACGUAGGCGGUCCGUUAAGUCGGUUGUGAAAUCCCCCGGCUCAACCGGGGAAGUGCAUCCGAAACUGGCGGGCUAGAGUACGAAAGAGGGUCGCGGAAUUCCCGGUGUAGAGGUGAAAUUCGUAGAUAUCGGGAGGAACACCGGUGGCGAAGGCGGCGACCUGGGUCGAUACUGACGCUGAGGUGCGAAAGCGUGGGGAGCAAACAGG